rnacentral:tRNA from 1 species
GAGUUUCUGUAGUUGAAU